AUUGAACGCUGGCGGCAUGCUUUACACAUGCAAGUCGAACGGCAGCGCGGGCUUCGGCCUGGCGGCGAGUGGCGAACGGGUGAGUAAUACAUCGGAACGUGCCCAGUAGUGGGGGAUAGCUCGGCGAAAGCCGGAUUAAUACCGCAUACGACCUGAGGGUGAAAGCGGGGGAUCUUCGGACCUCGCGCCAUUGGAGCGGCCGAUGGCAGAUUAGCUAGUUGGUGGGGUAAAGGCCUACCAAGGCGACGAUCUGUAGCUGGUCUGAGAGGACGACCAGCCACUCUGGGACUGAGACACGGCCCAGACUCCUACGGGAGGCAGCAGUGGGGAAUUUUGGACAAUGGGCGAAAGCCUGAUCCAGCAAUGCCGCGUGUGUGAUGAAGGCCUUCGGGUUGUAAAGCACUUUUGGCGGGAACGAAAAGGACUGUGCCAAUACCACGGUUCGAUGACGGUACCCGCAGAAUAAGCACCGGCUAACUACGUG
rnacentral:rRNA from 1 species